rnacentral:lncRNA from 1 species
GCAUCUGGAGGAGCCCUUCCCGAGUCUUCCAAAUAGCUCAAGAGCUCUAUAGAUCUAUCUGUCUUGACAAGGAUCAAUGGUUCCUGAACUUGUGAUAUAUCCUUCAAACAAGAGCUUGUUCCUGCCAAUAUUACUAAUGCCGACAAAAUAAUUAGCUAAUUUUAUCCAUUGGUUAAACCAAUCCCAGAAAUCAAAAUUAAAUGCCAAUGG